GAUGUCCCGGCACGAGUCUAAUAGGCCUGUAAUCGAUUGGAGUACAUUAUUAUAGUGGCAAAGGUUUCUCCGUACACAGAGUUUGUACCUUUUAAUGGUUACGAGCUUCCGUCGACGGCUUGGAGAUUGUUUUCGCAACUGCACUCGUGUGGAAAGUUUUUCAGUGCUACUGUUAGUUCUUGGCUCGUGGUGUUCUAUGCUUUGAUUUCGUUGGAAAUAAUCAAAACAAGCAGCGAGGAGUGAUAUGGAAAAUGAGACUAUGAACGAAGAUCGGAAUACGCUUGCCAAUAGGUUUUCGGACACACAGUGAAAGCUCUUUUAGGGCAUCCGCCUUCCUUUGCCGGAAGCUCUCUCUCUCUCCCUCUCUCUCUCUCUUACUUGCAAG
rnacentral:lncRNA from 1 species